UUUGAAAAGAGAGUUAAAAAGCACGUGAAAUUGUUGAAAGGGAAGCGCUUGCAACCAGAGCGGUUUGGAGGGGUUCAGCCUUUGGCGCACUCCCCUCCAGUCAGGCUAGCAUCAGUUCGGCCGGUCGGAUAAAGGUCGUGGGAAUGUGGCACCCUCGGGUGUGUUAUAGCCCAUGGCACAAUACGGCCUGGCUGGACUGAGGUCCACGCUUCGGCAAGGAUGCUGGCGUAAUGGUUGUCAGCGGCCCGUCUUGAAACACGGACCAAGGAGUCUAACAUCUGUGCGAGUGUUCGGGUGUCAAACCCGUGAGCGUAAUGAAAGUGAACGGAGGUGGGAGCCCUCGGGUGCACCAUCGACCGAUCCUGAUGUCUUCGGAUGGAUUUGAGUAUGAGCAUAGCUGUUGGGACCCGAAAGAUGGUGAACUAUGCGCGGAUAGGGUGAAGCCAGAGGAAACUCUGGUGGAGGCUCGCAGCGGUUCUGACGUGCAAAUCGAUCGUCAAAUCUACGCAUAGGGGCGAAAGACUAAUCGAACCAUCUAGUAGCUGGUUCCUGCCGAAGUUUCCCUCAGGAUA
rnacentral:rRNA from 1 species